UUUUUUUUUUUCUCUAUGCGACUUCUUCUCCUUCUCUUCCUCUCCGCGACUUCUCUUUCUCUUGUUUUUUCUUCUAUCUUUUUAUCCGUCAAAUCAAUUAAUAAAGAUUCUUCUUCUCUCUUGUUCCUUCUUCUAUCUCUUUCAAUUAACCAUGAAAUUAGAUCUGAAAACCAAAAGCGAAAACAAAUCUACAGUGAUUCAGAACUUCAUGUGAUGAUGAAGAAGGUGACGAAAACGGAGAAGAGAAGGGUUUACACAAGCUGCAUUGACUCUAGGUUACGAGGCAGGGAUUAAUAAACCAAACAUCGAUGAGAUAUAAUUCCACCUGGUACAUGGGGAUGGAAGCUAACUUGAGCAAUGUAGUAGUUAUUCCUACACGGUGUUAGACUGAGUUAUGUUUUUUUACUCGUAGGGCGAAAGUGGACACUGAUGAGGAUUUAUAUAUUAUUCUAUCAACCAUUGGAUCUAAUAGUUAC